UCAUCAUUUACUAUAUUGGAUCAGAGAUGUACAUGGUUGGAUCAUAUGCAGCAUCUUAUCAACUAUUAAGCAGCUUGAGUGCCUGCAACAAACAGAACCAUGCCGCUUUUUCUGACUUCAAGGUGUCUAGAUUGUGUCUUCAUAUUUCAUGAUUAAGAUAAGGUCAAGAAACAUGGUCGUAAUUGCAGAUUCAGAGCACAUGAUUCUUGAAACCAAUUUCUCUAUAAUGCAAUUUCAUAAAGACAAUCCAAUUUCUACUAGAUGUGAAGGACAGACAAGUACUAGCAAGAGAGGAGCUUCUAGCAUUUAAACUCUAUAGAACUCGAAGUUCAGUUUGUUGACCAGAUGCCUUUUCCAUUGAAACAUGAUAUGGCUGAACACACACACACAUGUAUAAAAGGAACAUGAAGCUAACUGCAAGUCAUCAAAAACAUUUCAAGGCACCCUUGAUACUUUUUUUGGCCAAGGUCUUGGACAGUAAGACAUGUUUCCCCAAAGAACAAGUCAACACUCUAGGCUCUAGGCAUUCACCAGAAAAAGUGACUUGGGCUAUCUCUGAGGUUGUUUCUGAUUGCAGAAAUAAAAAGCAUUCAGAAGUCAGAUACCCAGCAAUAUACACACUAGAGGUAAGUGAGCAACUUCUAAACCAGUUACAAAACCCAACCAUAUGCCCUGCACCCUUGGGACCUUAUCUACCAGUAUGAGUUGCCUUAUUCGCACUAAUGCCCUCAACUGUUUAAGGCACUAAAAGAUUGCCAAGUGUAUGUCAAGCUCAGUUGAAGUCAAUUUCAGUUUAAAGCCUUGAACUUAAAAGAUCAAUUUUUUUUUUUCCAGCCCCAUCCAU